CUACGGGUCGCUCCAGUGAGGAAUAUUGCACAAUGGGGGGAACCCUGAUGCAGCAACGCCGCGUGGAGGAUGACGCAUUUCGGUGUGUAAACUCCUUUUAUAUGUCAAGAAAAUGACGGUAGCAUAUGAAUAAGCACCGGCGUAACUCCGUGCCAGCAGCCGCGGUAAUGCGGAGGGUGCAAGCGUUACUCGGAAUCACUGGGCGUAAAGGACGCGUAGGCGGGUUGGAAAGUCAGGUGUGAAAUCCUACAGCUUAACUGUAGAACUGCACUUGAAACUUCUAAUCUAGAGUAUGGGAGGGGGAGAUGGAAUUAGUGGUGUAGGGGUAAAAUCCGUAGAUAUCACUAGGAAUACCUAAAGCGAAGGCGAUCUCCUGGAACAUUACUGACGCUAAGGCGUGAAAGCGUGGGGAGCAAACAGGAUUAGAUACCCCGGUAGUC
rnacentral:rRNA from 1 species